rnacentral:rRNA from 1 species
GUAAGGGAUAUUGCGCAAUGGGCGAAAGCCUGACGCAGCAACGCCGCGUGGAGGAUGACAGCCUUCGGGUUGUAAACUCCUUUUGGGGCUGACGAGGAAGGACGGUAAGCCCUGAAGAAGUCACGGCUAACUACGUGCCAGCAGCCGCGGUAAAACGUAGGUGGCGAGCGUUAUCCGGAUUUACUGGGCGUAAAGCGUGUGCAGGCGGGGCGUCAAGUGGUGCAUGAAAUCGCUCGGCUUAACCGGGCGGGGUUGUGCCAGACUGAUGCUCUCGAGUGCGGGAGAGGGGCGUGGAAUUCCGGGUGUAGUGGUGAAAUGCGUAGAGAUCCGGAGGAACCCCAGAGGCGAAGGCGGCGCCCUGGCCCGACACUGACGCUCAGACACGACAGCAUGGGGAGCGAACGGGAUUAGAAACCCCUGUAGUCC